rnacentral:lncRNA from 1 species
GGUGAAUAGGAGUGGGUAUAAGUAGUGAAUAGGAGUGGGUAUAAGUAGUGAAUAGGAGUGGGUAUAAGCAGUGAAUAGGAGUGGGUAUAAGUAUUGAAUAGGAGUGGGUAUAAGUAGUGAAUAGGAGUGGGUAUAAGUAGUGAAUAGGAGUGGGUAUAAGUAGUGAAUAGGAGUGGGUAUACAUAGUGAAUAGGAGUGGGUAUAAGUGGUGAAUAGGAGUGGGUAUAAGCAGUGAAUACGAGUGGGUAUAUGUAGUGAAUAUGAGUGUGUAUAAGUGGUGAAUAGGAGUGGUUAUAUGUAGUGAAUAGGAGUGGGUAUAAGUAGUGAAUAGAUGUGGGUAUAAGUGGUGAAUAGGAGUGGGUAUAUGUAGUGAAUAUGAGUGUGUAUAAGUGGUGAAUAGGAGUGGUUAUAUGUAGUGAAUAGGAGUGGGUAUAAGUAGUGAAUAGGAGUGGGUAUAAGUGGUGAAUGUUCUGUUAUAAUCGUCACCCGGCACAGCCAGAAGAGGACUGGUCCACCCCUCAGAGCCUGGUUCCUCUCUAGGUUUCUUCAUAGGUUCUGGCCUUUCUAUGGAGUUUUUCCUAGCCACCGUGCUUUGUUUGCUGUUUGGGGUUUUAGGCUGGGUUUCUGUUCAGCACUUUGAGAUAUCAGCUGAUGUAAGAAUGGCUUUAUGAAUUCAUUUGAUUGAUUGAUUGAUUGAUUGAUUGAUUGAUAAUGAAUAGGAGUGGGUAUAAGAAGUGAGAAAAGGAGAGCCAUAAAUGACAUGACAUUAAACACUAGAGGGCAGCAGACAGGGCACCACAGACCAAAUGGAAACGUUGUGCCUUCCAUUUCUACAAAUCUCUUGUCUGGAGUCUAUUUUACAAGCCUGUUGAGCUAAGAAUAGAUUUGCAAAACACCUGGUAAUUUACAAAAGUGGCCAUUUUUUUUUCUUCAUUUUACAGGUAAUUUUGGAAAUCUAUGGAAAUAAUAAUUUAAAAAAUAUAUAUUUUAUAUACUUUCUAUUUUCAGUUAAUUCCUUGAAUGUUUUCAACAUUCUGGUAGCUUACUGGUAAAUGUUGGUAGUUUACUGGUACAUUUAGAAAGUUACCAGUAAAACUCCAAACCCUAUGAAGAACCUAUUUUUCAAGAUGACAGCAAGAACAAAUAAGCAUUUUUCU